rnacentral:rRNA from 1 species
CCUACGGGUGGCAGCAGUGAGGAAUAUUGGUCAAUGGGCGUAAGCCUGAACCAGCCAAGUCGAGUGAGGGAUGAAGGUUCUAUGGAACGUAAACCUCUUUUAUAAGGGAAUAAAGUGCGGGACGUGUCCCGUUUUGUAUGUACCUUAUGAAUAAGGAUCGGCUAACUCCGUGCAAGCAGCCGCGGUAAUACGGAGGAUCCGAGCGUUAUCCGGAUUUAUUGGGUUUAAAGGGUGCGUAGGCGGCCUUGUAAGUCAGCGGUGAAAGUCUGUGGCUCAACCAUAGAAUUGCCGUUGAAACUGGGAGUCUUGAGUAUGUUUGAGGCAGGCGGAAUGCGUGGUGUAGCGGUGAAAUGCUUAGAUAUCACGCAGAACCCCGAUUGCGAAGGCAGCCUGCCAAGCCAUGACUGACGCUGAUGCACGAAAGCGUGGGGAUCAAACAGGAUUAGAUACCCCGGUAGUC